AUGCUAGAAUACAGAUAAAAAGACUUCAAAAAUAGAACUUUAGAGGUAGCAAAUAGGAUUAAAGCAGUUUAAGACAUUGGAAUUUGACCUUCAGACUGUGUCCAAGACGCCAACAAACGAGGAAUGAGGCUUGAAUACAACAGUCAAGACAAAUAUAAAACUGGCAUAAUAGAAAAGAAUUCAUAGUGUUUAUAGUGAACUAGUCUUGUUUCCUCCUAAAAACAGAAUCUUUAGCUGUGUCGAGAGAUUAGCAAUGGAGCUGGGCAAUUCACCCUCCAGAUUAUUAGUAGUUGCACCUAUAGCUUUUAGACGGGUGCAGUUGGUAA